UGUGCUGGAAAAAUUAUGUCUUUCUGAAAGCCACAGAAAUCUGACAAAUUACUAUAAUCAAACAAAUGAGAUAAUUAUUACAUUAUUAUGAAAUGAUGGGGCAAUUUCUUUUUCAAAAAUAUGAUGAUGAAAAUAUUUUUUUUUUUCAUUUGUAUCUUCCUGGAAUCAUCAGGAUGUUUCAUCAGCGGAAUAGUAAUCGCAUGUUGUGUCAUCGUUGCUGCAGCUGUUGGUGUAGUUCUAGUCAUGACUCCAGCUUGUGAUUUGUUGUUAUUUCUCAGGGUAGCUAAAUCUUUUGUUGCAUUUUGUUGUUUUUAUGCGACGGUAAUAAAAUAAUUAUGUCUAUAACAGUAAUUGACAUAAGAAUGUGAGUAAAGCUGUGUUAAAAUACAGUUGGAAAUCCUAUUUUUAAAACUUUUAUAACAGUAAAACUUAAACUCACAAAAACAUUUUAGGCAUAUAGAAUGAUUGUGGUUGUAUUAUUUAUUUUGUAAAAACAUUGAGGCUCCAUAGGUGUUAUUAUGUUACAAAGGUUCAGAGAAUGCUUGUGUUGUAAUGUAUAGUAAUGACCUUUUAACUCUCUCAGCAGAAGACAUCUGAAUCAGUCCACACACACAGAAACUACCACUGCAACAGCAGCUGAAGGUCAGGAUAAUCCAGCUUCCUCCAGUCAGGAGCUGAACUUUACAAAUGUGAGGUUUAUCCCAAACAAAAAUACACAUAGUGACUCUGCACAUUAUGCGUCCUCCCCUCCUUCCUAUGAUGAAGUCAUGCAGGAAGUGAAUAGAUUCAAAUAGUACUGGACACCAAAAGCAGUGAAACCUGAACUUCUCUUGUAGUUCCUUCAUUGUGAGCUUGUCUGGACAUGGCUUUCCGACUUUCCUUUAACAUGUAAUUAACAACCAACCAGCUCUGAAGUUUACUGUCACUGGAAAACUGUUUCUAUUUAUUACUUUGAUAUUUCUUUAAAAACUGUAUAUCGUGUUUUACAGCCCAUGUAAAAUGCAGUUACCUAAGCAGUAAUAUUCUUUAUAUUUGAUUCAAAUGUUAAUCUAGCUAAUGUUUGUCACAGGUUUGACAUAAUGUAAUAUCAUGUGAUUUCAUAUGAGAUUCUAGUGUUUAUUUGUUAAAAGUAACACUCCUGGAUACUACUUAAUGAUCAGUUUGAUGAAUGAAUAAUGUGUCAUUACCUUAGUGAACUGUAAAGGCGCUGCACUGUUUGAAAGUUUUGAAUUAAAUGAAAUGUUACAACAAAGAAAAUGUUAA